CCUACGGGAGGCUGCAGUGGGGAAUAUUGCACAAUGGGGGAAACCCUGAUGCAGCGACGCCGCGUGAGUGAUGAAGUAUUUCGGUAUGUAAAGCUCUAUCAGCAGGGAAGAUAAUGACGGUACCUGACUAAGAAGCUCCGGCUAAAUACGUGCCAGCAGCCGCGGUAAUACGUAUGGAGCAAGCGUUAUCCGGAUUUACUGGGGGUAAAGGGGGCGCAGGCGGCAGGGCAAGUCUGAUGUGAAAGUCCGGGGGUCAACCCCGGGACUGCAGUGGAAACUGUCCGGCUAGAGUGCAGGAGAGGUAAGUGGAAUGCCUAGUGUAGCGGUGAAAUGCGUAGAUAUUAGGAGGAACACCAGUGGCGAAGGCGGCUUACUGGACUGUAACUGACGUUGAGGCUCGAAAGCGUGGGGAGCAAACAGGAUUAGAUACCCGAGUAGUC
rnacentral:rRNA from 1 species